rnacentral:rRNA from 1 species
AACGAACGCUGGCGGCAUGCCUAACACAUGCAAGUCGAACGAGACCUUCGGGUCUAGUGGCGCACGGGUGCGUAACGCGUGGGAACCUGCCCUUAGGUUCGGCAUAACUCCCCGAAAGGGGUGCUAAUACCGGAUAAUGUCUUCGGACCAAGGAUUUAUCGCCUUUGGAUGGGCCCGCGUUGGAUUAGCUAGUUGGUAGGGUAAAAGCCUACCAAGGCGACGAUCCAUAGCUGGUCUGAGAGGAUGAUCAGCCACACUGGGACUGAGACACGGCCCAGACUCCUACGGGAGGCAGCAGUGGGGAAUAUUGGACAAUGGGCGAAAGCAUGAUCCAGCAAUGCCGCGUGAGUGAUGAAGGCCUUAGGGUUGUAAAGCUCUUUUACCCGGGAUGAUAAUGACAGUACCGGGAGAAUAAGCUCCGGCUAACUCCGUG